GACGAACGCUGGCGGCGUGCUUAACACAUGCAAGUCGAACGAAAAGAGGGAAAGAGCUUGCUCUUUCCGGAAUUGAGUGGCAAACGGGUGAGUAACACGUAAACAACCUGCCUUCAGGAUGGGGACAACAGACGGAAACGACUGCUAAUACCGAAUAGGUUCCAAGAGCCGCAUGGCCCAUGGAAGAAAAGGUGGCCUCUACCUGUAAGCUAUCGCCUGAAGAGGGGUUUGCGUCUGAUUAGCUGGUUGGAGGGGUAACGGCCCACCAAGGCGACGAUCAGUAGCCGGUCUGAGAGGAUGAACGGCCACACUGGAACUGAGACACGGUCCAGACUCCUACGGGAGGCAGCAGUGGGGAAUCUUCCGCAAUGGGCGAAAGCCUGACGGAGCAACGCCGCGUGAGUGAUGACGGCCUUCGGGUUGUAAAACUCUGUGAUCCGGGACGAAAAGGCAGAGUGCGAAGAACAAACUGCAUUGACGGUACCGGAAAAGCAAGCCACGGCUAACUACGUG
rnacentral:rRNA from 1 species